rnacentral:lncRNA from 1 species
CACAAUCAAGGGGAGGGUAGAUAUGUUCUACCUCUUGACAUGUAGUAUGAACAUAAAGUGGAUUUUUACUUGCUAAAGUAGAAAGAAGAUCCCAACAUUUGAUGAGAAAAUAUACAGAAGAUGUGGAUCUCUCUUUUGGGCAGAUGAAAGUAUAUUGAGUUUACACAUGGUGACAGUACAGAUUUGUUUUUAAUUACAAAAGAACAUGGCUACUGCCUUUGAAUUCUCAACAUUCAGCGUGGUCAGCAGUAGUAAACCUGGCAAUUUGAGGGCAACCCAAGUAAUAGCAGCAACAGCAACAACAGACCUUAAUCAAGCAAUUAAUAUGUGCCAUGUCUCUUGCUAGACAUUUUAACAAGAGUUAUUUUACCUAUGUCACACACUUGUAAUUAUCUGCAUAGUAAAUAAAUGCUUUUAAGGCAUAGGUCACAUGUCUGACUCACAGCUGCGAUGUGGUGGAUCCAAAUCUCUCUGAGGCCAAAUACUGCCCAGCUCGAAUGAACGCUAUGCUCCAUGCCUGAAACAACUGCUCCAGCCCUCAGAAAAGAGUCUCCCAUUCAACUGAAGUCUGCAUAUCAGAUUCCCGUGGGAUAAUUCAUAAAGGCUCCUUGAAGUUAAUUCUGGGUAUAUCCUGAAAUAGAGGGUCUCCUCUGUUUUUUCUUCUUUUUUUCCACAACUGAGGAGACACUAGUGCCUACUUAUCUCAAUAAUGGGAUUUCUCUUUGAUGCAAUUGCAGUUUUUACUAGGCCUUUCAAUAAAUAUGUUGAAUAUU